rnacentral:rRNA from 1 species
AUUGAACGCUGGCGGCAGGCUUAACACAUGCAAGUCGAGCGGAGAGAGGUAGCUUGCUACUGAUCUUAGCGGCGGACGGGUGAGUAAUGCUUAGGAAUCUGCCUAUUAGUGGGGGACAACAUUUCGAAAGGAAUGCUAAUACCGCAUACGUCCUACGGGAGAAGGCAGGGGAUCUUCGGACCUUGAGCUAAUAGAUGAGCCUAAGUCGGAUUAGCUAGUUGGUGGGGUAAAGGCCUACCAAGGCGACGAUCUGGAGCGGGUCUGAGAGGAUGAUCCGCCACACUGGGACUGAGACACGGCCCAGACUCCUACGGGAGGCAGCAGUGGGGAAUAUUGGACAAUGGGCGCAAGCCUGAUCCAGCCAUGCCGCGUGUGUGAAGAAGGCCUUAUGGUUGUAAAGCACUUUAAGCGAGGAGGAGGCUACUUUAGAUAAUACCUAGAGAUAGUGGACGUUACUCGCAGAAUAAGCACCGGCUAACUCUGUGCCAGCCGCCGCCGUAACAC